CGAGAUCGACGUCGGGUCGCGGCGCCCUCGCGACGCUGCUGCCGUCGCGGCGCAACGUCGGGUCGUGGCGCCCUCGCGAGGCUGCUGCCCUCACUCCGCCCUCGUCUCGCCGCUGCCCUCACUCCGCCCUCGUCGCGGCGCCGCCCCUCUCCACUGUCCUGCUGCCGCGGGGGCGCCCUCCGUCCGCCCCCUCGUCGCCGCCGCACUCGCCCUCGCCCUCGGAUGGGGCCGCCUCACUCGCCCUCGGAUGGGGCCGCGCUAGGACACAGGGUCGUCCACCGCGCGCACCGCCGGGGGAGACGGGUCGUCCGCAGCGCACGCCGCCAGGGACGGGCCCUCCGACAUGGGUGCCGCCUGGGGAUGAAACCCUACUCCGCGCGCGCCGCCGACGAACGAGGUCCUCCUUCGCUCGCGCCUCCAUUGGAUGGGGCCCUUCUCCGCCCACACUGCCGGGGGGGGGGGGGGGGCUCCGCUCACACCGCAAGCUCAGGUCAGGCAUGUCUCUCUCCCUCUCUGAUUUCUUCAAAUUGAGAUCCCGAUCUAGGGUUUGGGCUAUGGAGCAGCUGCUGGACUAUGGAGACCCGUCAAUCCGUGGCACCAAUUGUUGGGAGCGAGAUUGCUUAAUCCCCCAACCCCCCUUUACUACUACUGCCCUACGAUUUCUUCUUGUUAUGGCGCGGGCAGAAUGUCGCAGGGGGCUCGCCGUCGCUGUCCACGGUCGCCGGCGGCGCUUCAGCAAAGAACAGAGCUACACGGGCGCCACAGUCGCGUGACCCAUCCUGUUCCGGCCGUCAGUCCGGUACGGUCAUCCCACACGGUGCUCAGACUACACUCGGUAGUGCUGGAGUCCAUGAAGCAGAACCACGGAUCAAGCAGAGCUCCUCCGUCCAGAGGAUGUAUCUAUCAUCUCUAAUUGAAGGUUCUAAGGGGACGAGAUAUGGUUGGGGAUUGGGGGCGUCAUCUUCUGAUCUAGGGCUCAAGCUUAUCAAUUGGAGGCUAAUAAUGGCAUCAGGUUGCAAAUGAGGUGCACUACCAAUGAUGCAGCUGCAAAGGCACGACAAGAAUUUCUAGAAGAACUGGCUGCAAAGUGUUUAAGGUUUCAAAACAAGUUGGCUGAAGGACGAUGCUACUUUUCAUGAUGGAUUUCAGACAUUGUCAUUUUUCAUGAGAUUUGUUGGUAAUGAAAAUUCAGAUCAAACUACUCUGAAUUCAAAAUAUUUGGUGGUGGGUUCUAUUUGAUAAAUCCUAUAUGGUCACAAGCUUUGAUAUUGGCAAGGGUGCUCAAUAGAAGACCAUGGCAUAACAACGAUGAUAAUGUUAAUAUGUGCGUGGAUAUCAUAUUUCACGAGUAUCCUCCUGAUGGCUUUGAUCCAGGAAUUACUUUAGGUUACAAGAAAUGAGAGAAUAUUGGGAAAUAUCAGUGCAAACUUUGCUUUGUGGACUGAUGGCAAAUGUGAUGCACAACCAAAGUGGCUUCAAAGAAACUUCAUAAAACAAUAGCAAGAUAUGUGAUUAACAUGAUGAGGACAAUUAGUUCAUUUCACUGGGAAUUGUGCAUUGUCUGCAAUGUUUACUGCAACAUCUUGCGACUGUUCCACUGCCUCGGAUGUAUAUAGGACAGCCUGGCAAGAAUGAUCUGUAUGUCAAAGUUAUAUACAUACAAGCGAGUUAAUAAGAUAUUAGUGGAUGUUUGUAGUAGCAGUACCAGAAGGGGCAUUUAAUCUGGUUCUAUGAUUACCAUCUCAGGUUCCUGCCCAUGUGCUUCAAGGACAAUGAAGGUUCAUGCAUGCUGCCAUCCUGCUUGAAGCUGCUUGGCUGUCUUAGAUGAUGAUUUAGUUGGGUAAGUAUAACUGUCGAUUUUUACUCCUGUCAUUUUGUUGGCUGCCAAAACUGAGGAAGUUUAACUGUUUAUCAUUUUUAUGCUUGAUUUACUGUCUUUGAUUAUACCUUUUUGUGCUUACAAGUCGUAAAGGAAGUCAGAAAAACCGUGCAUAAUUGCUUGUUAUCCUUAAGGGCUGACUUGACCAGUCACCCAUGAAGUUCAGAUGCAAAACAUAAGCAUAUUAGCAUGCAGAACUUUUGGCCAUGCCAAAUUUAGAACCAUGGUAGCUGAAUGGAGAGAAGGUGCGGCACCAUUUUUUUUACCCUUUAGACAACGUAGCGCUUCUGUAACUAUUGUUUUGCAUGUUAUUGAGGCAGGGAUACAAUAUGUGAAAGAAAGAAAAAAUUAGUUCAAUGAAUUAAUAAAAUGAGGUCAAGAUUUUUAGUAGUACGAUGCAAUUCAAUUAUUUUUAAAUAAAUUCACUUUAAACACGUGCCUAAAAACCAUUUGUAGAUUACUGUAAAUCAUCUAACUUGUAAAUGUUACUGAACUUUUGUUGCCAUUGCAUCUCAUGAUCACAACAUCGUCGUUGUGUGAAUUGUUGCUAAAAUAAACUACUAAUUUAUUCAACUUAUAUUACGAGGCAUCCCAAUAGUUUCUGCAUUUAUAUCUAUAUACAACUACAAGCAGCAGAUAGAAGAGGUGAAGUGGACUUAUGUAUAUUCUUACUAACCUGGAGAUUAUGCUAAAGGGGAUGCAACUAAUGCAUAGAAAGUUUGCAAUUGGGCCCUUGCAAAAAGUUAAUGCAUAUAGUAGAUAGAAUUUGCAUGGUUAGAUGCAGAUUCUUUAUAAUCCUCUUUCUUGUACAGUACUGAACAAUAUAAAUUUUCUUUCUUUUUAUUCAAUUCAAGAGAGUAUUUCCUUUUGUACAAGAUAAUAAUUUAUUUGACCUCAGUUUAUCAUUUCUUUGCCAAAAAAAUCAUUUGCAAAAACCUAUCACAAUUUACUACUAAUUUUUUCUGGAUCAGCUUUGUACCCUGUGAUCUGAUCCCGUUGCUUCUUAGAAAGUCAAACUGUGCUACUAUUUGUGUGAUUUGUUUUUUGUAUACCAGACUGAAGGUGAAGAUGAGAGCCCAAGCCUAAAGGUCACCCUUCUCAGACUUUCAGCUCUCUAGACUUGUCAGCUUCACAGCUCUUGAUGCAUGAAAACAAUGUCAACUUCACAGCGGAUUAUAGGCUAUUAGGCUGCUUGGAACUAUUGAUGCAAACACUUAAAAAUCAGAAUGCAUAUACUACUGUUUUCUGAAAUUGUGUAGGCUGGUGGAGUGAGAUAUCUUCCUGAAUCUUUAAUUUGUCAAAUUCUUCAUUUGUGAACUCAACAUCGGUACAUCCAUAUCCAUACUAGGUCAAGACAGACCUAUUUUUCGCAAUACAGUAUGGUGAAAGUACAUCGUUUUAAACAUGCUACUAUAAAAAAAAGGACUAUAUGCUCCUCUGUGAGAAAAAUGUGGUGGAGUUUGAGCUGUGCAAGGGUCCUAUAUAUGUUGCCACAACAAUUAUACAAGGUGGUAUUUUAGUUCCAAAUUGGAAAAAGAUUAUAGUUCAUGUUUAAAAUAUUCAUGCUUCCAACUAAGUACAAGCACUCGAACAAUUUCAGCUACUUGCAGUUCUUUCGUAUACAUUAAAAUGAGUCGUAUGACUAAGCUUAUUAUAUUGAAAUUUUAAUGAUUAUCAUGUACUGCACGCACGUGCCGCGCGGACAAACUUAUUAGUGGUUAUCAUGUUUCUUUUAAAAUUUCUAAGCUAAACAAUAUAUUAACCGUAGCAACGCACGAGCACUUAGUAUAUAUAUAUCUAUCUAUCUAUAUACUAUAAGGAUCCAUGACAAUUGAAACAAUCCUCACCAAAAUUAGCCCCCAUACCCACCUCACAAACCUCCACUUUUGGACCUACAUGUAAGGAUAAAAGUUUGACAGGAGAGGAUGGCAGACGGAUUUUUGUCGUCCCCGCCCGUUCAAUGAGGCGCUGUGCUCCCGAUCGAAAGAAAUUUUUUUCACCGCACCGAUGUUUACCCUUCCUCUGUACCCGCCCGCCCAUUGGUCCGAUUUCCUACCAUCACGCAGCGCCUAGCCUUCCCGUCAAUCACGCCGCCUCCACUAACCCCCUCGCGACGCGCCUUCCCCGGACGUCGCCUCCUCCCUCGCCCACGCUCGCCUCGCGCCCUCCCCUCCAUCCCCACGCCGCGGCCAUCGCUCCAUCCCCGGCCGCCUCUCCAUCAUGGGCCGCCAAGCCUCCUGCUCCUCCGUUCCGCCCGCAUGCUCCUCCGGCCCCGUGCGCCCCACCGCCGCGCUACUCCUCCUGCACCUCGCACCCUUACCUCCCCCGCCACCGAGCCCCUACUUGGGCCCCGACUGAAACCCGGCGACGGUCGGCGGAUCCAGCAGCAGUGUUGGUGGCGGCCCCUUGGCAACGAUGAAGGCCUGGUGGAGGUCGUCACAAAUGGCGGGGAUAGUGGCGAAGAUCCAGUGGACUCCCGCGAGAUGGCGGCGGGGCUCCGGCAGGCGCGGCCCGCGGCAUGGUCCCUCGCCGGCGGGACCAAGUGGUGGGCGCCCCUGCCGCGCGUCCUCGCGGCGCCCCCUCGCCGGCGCCCCCACGCUCCAGAUCUCGCCCUCCCGCAGUGGCCGGCGGCGUGGAUCCGCUUCCUCCCUGGCCAUCUCGAGUCCAUGGCAUCCAUGGCCGGCGAGGCCCUCCUCCCUCACCCCUCCCUGGCAGGUGCGGCCCUCCUCCCUCCCCCUCCCUGGACGGCGUGGGUCCAUGGCCGGCGCGCCCUCCUCCGACCAUGCGCACGCGGCGGCCUGAGCUCCGGCGGUGGCGUCCAUGGCUGGCGCGGCUCCGUGCUGCCUCCGGGCACAAGGAAAGGGUAGACUUUGUUUUUUCUUCUAUUUUUUUGUUCGUGCUUGUGCAGGAGGUUGGCAUCUGCCUACAUGUGAAUAGCCUGUGCAAGCACAAGCACCUUUCUUUCGAAGCCCAUCAAGUGGUGAAGUAGCUUAUCAGCGUAGUGUUCGGAACUUGGAAAAAAAUUGAAGGGUAUUUAGUAGUGGACUGAUUGGGUUUUGUCUGAUGAAUCUGAUGAUAAUGGCUGCACCUUCAUGAUGCAUAUCAACAACGUCAGGUUGAUAAGAACAUUGAGAAUAGCAUGAAUAUUUGGGUGGGAUUUAGCAUACGUUUGACCCUGUUGAUACUGCAAUCAGUGUGUGCAAUGAUCUACAGUCGUGCCUGCUUCCAAGUUCCAAUGCCUUGUUAUUGUGGUCGACUCCACAAGCAGAUCAAGGUGUAGACUCUAAAAGUUUCAUAGAAUUACUUGGCAGCAAACCCAGGAUGUGUCCUGGAAGAUUUCGUUAGAUGGCACUCUCCACUUGAUUGGUUUGAAGACUGUACUGCAAACAGUACCACUGUAGGGGAAGGCUCAUCUAGACGUGGGCGGUUAAGUGAUAGAUGCAAACAAAAGAGGGAAACUUGUGGGAGGCUGAGAAACCUAUACCUGCCGUUGAACAGACUCCAAUAUAUGAUGAAGAUUUAGCAGUGGAGAGCAUCUUUGAUUCCUUGGAAGUUAUUGAGCCAUCUAAAUUGUUUUAGCUACUACUUGCUGUCAUUGUAAGUUCGAUGAUCGCCCUUUUUCUUUUUGUCUUGUUUUUGCAGCUAGCUGCUAACUCUCGAUCUUAUUUAUCUUGGGACAAACUCUAAUGUCUUACUGACUGCUAUUUGCGAAUAGCAGCUUUCUGUAAGCUUUGUGGCAGCAGAUAGCAGCCUGUUAAAAUUAUUCUAGGAUUGCAGGGACUACAUAGCUGACACAUAGCUUCCAGGAUGUAGUCACCUUGCAUCAAUCCAAAUGUUGUGCUGAGUUUGCUCCUUGUGAUAUCCUCCUCGACAUUGUGCUGACCUCUGGCCCUUCAUCAAUAGAUUUUAUUUAGAGAACAAGAGUUCCAGCCAAGUGUUUUUUUUUUUUUGGCUUCUACUGCUUUGUAGACAGUGGACAGUGGUGAGGCUGCACAAGCAUGGUUUCUAAGACAAAGUGAUUGUGCUUCAUGUGGUCAAGACAGAGAGAGUGGAACACUUAUUCUGCAUUGCCCAUUCAGCAAAGAAGUCUGGUUCAGACUUCUCAGGAUGGCAGCUUUAAGUACUACCAACAAAUCCUAGCAAGUCUAAUCAACUCAGAAAGAAAUACGGUAUGCCUUGUGCCAUUUGGUCGCCAUGACUUGAAAAAUGUGUUUUCUACUCUGUAUAUUUUUUUUUGUAUUGGAAGUCAUUAUUUUAAACUAUUCUUUUAUAUGCAGAAAGAUACCUAGUUACAAGUUAAGCCUUACUAAAUUUCUUUAAACCAUUUGGAUGUUCAUUUAUUUUAUGUCAAUAGUUUGUUGUCAUGAAGAAGAAUAUUCCUCAUAUAUUAGAAGCUGAGCCUCGUAUAUGUAUGAUUGGAAUACUAUGGUCAGAUUUGAGCAUCCUCCUCCUUUUCUGUAUAUAGAAGCAAGAGCUUUGCUCCAAUGUGUUGAAGUGAGAAAUAUUCAUAUUGUGUCAUCCGUGGAGGCAUGAGGGGCCAUGGCGGCAGGUAUGGCAGCUCUGAUGCUGUUGCAAUUGGGACUUGGGAGGGCAAAAUAAGAUAGUAAUAUUUUUUAAUAAAAGAGAGAUAUGAAUUUAUGUGUGAAUAAAUAAUUUUUUAGUCUCACCUUGCUUUGUUAUAUUUCUCCUUUUCUUUAUGGAUAGGAUAUUUGAAUUCAGGAUACAUGAAGCUUUUUUGUAUUUUCAAUUGAUCUACUAAUAUAAGCAGCAGAGAAGCAUGCUUGGUCGGGCCUGCUAGCUUGCCCUGUAGGAAGAAUCUAGAUAUAUUCUUGUGUUUGAAAUAUUGACGAUCGAGCAAACAUGUUUUCUUUAUAUACUUGCAUUGUACGUUUAUGGUUCUUUCCAAACUAAGAUAUGGUUCUUCGGUUGAUCCAUCAAUUUGUAUUUCAUAAAUGGUGGCUAAUUAAAAACAAAUUGUAAGUUUCCAGACUUGAUUUUUGGUUAUUUAAGUUUCCAAACAAUUUAUAUGGCCCAUUCUGAUUUUGGUUCGUUUCUAUCUUAACUUGGUGUUUGCAUUAUGGGUGCAGACUAAGCUCAUCAAGGAGUGGGAAAACUACCAGUUGAUGGAUCCUGCACGUUAUGGCUUUUCUGGAACAAUGGUCUUUCUGAAGCAUAGGAUAAUAAUCGAAUGGGAGGGACCCAAAGGAGGCUGAUGCUACUGCAUUAUGGGAGGGUGUUUGUCUGGACCAACGUUGGCACAUAUCCUUAGUGCCCCCUCGAGGAAAGGCGACAGCUAGAGCAUGAGUUAGAGUUUGCCUUUUUUUUUUCUUCUAUCUUCCAUAGUGCGUGAAGACUCCCAUCUGUAAUUAUAUUUUCUUAACAUUAAUAAUUAUCUAUUAUGUAAAAAAGUUUGUUCAUUGAAAUAUAAAGUUUGUUUUUUAGGUUUAAAAAUUUAUUGUAAA